rnacentral:rRNA from 1 species
UAGGGAAUCUUCCGCAAUGGGCGAAAGCCUGACGGAGCAACGCCGCGUGAGUGAUGAAGGUAUUCGGAUCGUAAAACUCUGUUAUUAGGGAAGAACAAAUGUGUAAGUAACUAUGCACGUCUUGACGGUACCUAAUCAGAAAGCCACGGCUAACUACGUGCCAGCAGCCGCGGUAAUACGUAGGUGGCAAGCGUUAUCCGGAAUUAUUGGGCGUAAAGCGCGCGUAGGCGGUUUUUUAAGUCUGAUGUGAAAGCCCACGGCUCAACCGUGGAGGGUCAUUGGAAACUGGAAAACUUGAGUGCAGAAGAGGAAAGUGGAAUUCCAUGUGUAGCGGUGAAAUGCGCAGAGAUAUGGGGGAACACCAGUGGCGAAGGCGACUUUCUGGUCUGUAACUGACGCUGCUGUGCGAAAGCGUGGGGAUCAAACAGG